rnacentral:rRNA from 1 species
ACGGGUGAGUAAAGCUUAGGAAUCUGCCUAUUAGUGGGGGACAACAUUUCGAAAGGGAUGCUAAUACCGCAUACGUCCUACGGGAGAAAGCAGGGGACCUUCGGGCCUUGCGCUAAUAGAUGAGCCUAAGUCGGAUUAGCUAGUUGGUGGGGUAAAGGCCUACCAAGGCGACGAUCUGUAGCGGGUCUGAGAGGAUGAUCCGCCACACUGGGACUGAGACACGGCCCAGACUCCUACGGGAGGCAGCAGUGGGGAAUAUUGGACAAUGGGGGGAACCCUGAUCCAGCCAUGCCGCGUGUGUGAAGAAGGCCUUUUGGUUGUAAAGCACUUUAAGUGGGGAGGAGGCUCUCUUGGUUAAUACCUAAGAAGAGUGGACGUUACCCACAGAAUAAGCACCGGCUAACUCUGUGCC